CCUCAAACAGCCUCACAUCUCUCUAGCAGACACAACAGGAAAGGUCAGAACCACCACAGGCUGAGCCUCGCUGGAAAGGUCUGCACAUAUCAUAAUAAUCAUAAUAAUGUCAACAAAUAGGACACUUUAGAGUUCAUAGUGGAAGUUUAACUUAACUUUUUUCCCCCAACCUACUAAUUCACAUGAGCUGGGAAGUCAUUUUCACUCAAGAAGAAAAACAGCAGGUGGCGUUUCAACAAACUCAUCCACCGAUGAAGACCAUGAAAUGUGGUUCAAUCUCCAGAAAAUGCAAAGCAGCAGCCUACAAGAAACAAGAGCCACUGCAGAAACACAAGAGCAGAUCUGAAGCCUGAUUUGAUUGCCGCGGUGAUUAUCAUCCCAUCAGACAAGCGGUAAUUGUGAAGUAGAUGUGAGGAGGCAGACAGAGGCAGGGGGCUGAGCACGAGCAGCUUGACAACAGGCCAGGUUAGAGGGAGGAGGUCCAGGACAGAACAUGCUGAGCUGCCGCUGCGGCUCAUAAUUGGUCGUCUGUUUCUCGUCCUACCUGUGGGUGUUGUUCAAACCGAGGCCGCGGUGACACUUCAUCUCCUGCCAGGAGUCAAGCUAUCCGGGGUUUAAUGGUGCCUGUGCAGGAACAUUUUUUUUUUGAUCUACACAAGGGCUACACCGGGAAAAUCAAUUAAUAGUGACUAAUGGCAACAGAGAUGUUUUUUCCUCUCAUGGAUUUAAUCCUUUUACACAAGUUUUAGGGACAGUUGUAGGGCGGGAGGGUGGAUGUUUUCACCAACUCUUUACAUGUCUGAAUGCACCAAUGACUUUAUCAGAUUAUCAUACUUAGUUUAUCCCUCCCUGCCCAAAGCAAUGUUAGAGUACUGUAAGGACAGUUAUGUGCCUUGUUUGUUAUGUUCUUAUUAUACAAGAGUUGCUGAAGAGUUGCUGGUUUUGCUAAUAUGAUAGUGUCCUCGUUUUUGGACUCUCUAUCUCUCUAAUAUCUAUACAU